CUGCUUCUUAGGUGGCUCACUCACAAGGCUGGUGGGACGGACGCCUUAGUUCCUCCUCAUCUCGGCUUCUCCACAGGACUCUUGAAGCCCCAGCACCCAAUUGUAUACCCCAGUCGUAGGUCCUUCUACUUCUUCUACGUGGCACGCCACCUCAGCAUGGCUUGACUAGUGGUGUGUACGCCCACACCCAGGAUCCAAGCUGGAGAACCCUGGGCCGCUGAAGCGGAGCGUGAAAACUUAACCACUCGGCCACGGGGCUGGCCUCAAGGGCUGAUAUGUCUAAAUGAGCAAUACAAUAAAGACACACAAUUCAUGUAUGGUUAUAUAUUUAUCCAUAAAAUUAAUCUUCCUGGUUUUCAUUUCAGCAAAACCACUAAUUAUGUUGUUAUAAUCAAUAUUUUCACAUCAUUUGAGUCCUAUUAAAAGUAAUGCACACUAGAUGACCUUUCUCGAAUCUUUGGGUUUUUUUAAAUUUUCAAUGUGGAGAAAUUUUGCUCUGCAGAGGCAGCAGCAAUUGAAAUCGUCAAUAAAAUUCUUAAAGCAAUACUUUGAUUUGGAAAUGGAUCAUGAGUUUUAUAUACCAACAUUGUAAUUGGGUUGCAUCUGAUAUAUUCAUGAUCACAGACACUGUUACAAAUGUUUUAAUUUCAUCCUAUAAAUCACCAUCAUUUAUUUCAUGAUUUUCAAAAUCUCUUAAAACAAUAUUUAAAAAUAUACAGAUCCAUAUAGUGUUGUAAAGAGUUGAUAUCAUGCUUCACACAUAUUAUUGGUGCACCUACAUACAUCUGCAUUUAAGUGUACCGUGAACUGUUGUGGAUAUUGUGCUAAUUCACGAAUAAUUCCAGAACCAUCCGUUGGAACAUGAAGAGAAACCAGAGACUGUUGCAGGCGGGCCACUUGGAGAGGAGGAUGGCACAGCUACGUCAUCUUCCCUCUCUCCCAGGAGCUUCUACCACCAGCAUCUUCCUCGCUCUCCGAGGCAGCGUCAGAUCUGAGGUCAGCAGUGGCACACUCUACAAACCUUUGCAGCUUUGGGCGUGGUUACCUUCUGCUUGGAGAACACGGGGCAAAAGAUGUAGGGGAUACCUUGGGGCCUGGAGGGUGUCAGUCACCUGCAGAUGUUCAGCAUUGGGGGUUACACUGAGCCCGUGCCAUGUGACAGAGGGCCUUCUAAAGUGAUGGGCCCAGGACCCCGCCCACCCAGGGUGAUGGCCAGUACUGCACUUCUUGCUAAAUAACCAUAUAAAUAUUACUGUAGUGGAUUGAAUAGUGGUCCCCGAACAGAUAUACCCACAUCCUAGUCCCUAGAACCCGUGAAUGUGACCUUAUUUUUGCAGAUGUGUUAAAUUAGGGGUCUCGAGAUAAGAUCAUUCUGGAUUAUCUAGGUAGGCCCUAAAUACAAUAAUGUGUCCUUCUAAGAGACAAAUAGAAGAGAGACAGAGGGAGAAGGGGAGAAGGCUGCAUGAACUUGGAGGCAGAGACUGGAGCGAUGCAUGCAGCCCCAAGCCAAGGAAUGCCCACAGCCGCUGGAAGCUGCUAGAGGUGGGGAAGGAUACUCCCCAGAGCCCUCAGGGGAGCACCGAGCUGCCAACACCUUGCUUUCAGACUCCUGGUCCCUAGAGCUGCAAGAGAAUAAAUUUCUGUUGUGUUAAGUUACCAAAUUUGCGGUAAUUCGUCAUGGCAGCCCUAGGAGAUGAGGGCUAAGUACAAUUUCCCACAAUGUCCAGCAUUUGUCAGGGCUGAUUGUGUACCAGGCACUCUGCUGAGCCCUCUCUACAAGCAUCAUCUCACUUAAGCCUCACAAGGCACUGUUCUCACCCUCACUUUACAGAGGAGCGGAGAGAGGUUCUAAAAGGCAGGAAGCUGGCCCGAGGCCACGUGGCCAGGAAGCUGGGAUCUGAACCCAGGUCCGUCUGCUGCAAAGAUCUUAGAGCACCCGGAAGCCUCCUCGCCUGGUGACACAGCCGGCUGUAAGAUGGAUUUACCCUGUGCUUGGUGGCUUCUAGCUGAAUGUCACCUCCUCUUUGUCCCCCUACUUAAAAGAGGCCCACAUCUUUUAGCACUCUCUGCUCUAACCCUCGGCAAUUUACCACCACCUCAGAAGUGAGAUAUAAAUUACAACAGACCAUUCUUCUAACUCAACCGAUCAUGGGAACACUGUUUGCUGUUACAAAGAAACAUUCUAGGCAUACACAAUCACGCCUAGUUCUUUGCAUCUAUUUAUCCUCGGGGUCAUUCGGGUUUAUUCGCACACAUUGCCAAGAUGAAUCAGAAAUCUGGAGAAACCAUUUGUUCUUGGAGAAGGACAGCAGUCAGGAGGGUUUUUUGUUAGUUUCUUUUUGUUGAUUUUGAAUUUGUAUGAAGACUAUGUCCCGGUCCCAGGAGAAAACAGACAGAAAAGUUUGUUUUCUUAAGACUUAAAAUAUAUUCUCUGAGCUCACUAAGCCAUCAGAACAUGCCGCUGGGCUCUGACGAUGGCGUGAUUUAGGGAGUAAGCAUUUCUUUCCGCUCUAUGUUUGCCCUGUCUUUUGGGGACUAGAAGAGAUUGUUGUCCAUCUGCUGACAAGCCCCAAAACUGUGUGUGUGUGUGUGUGUGAGUGUGUGAGUGUGAGUGUGUGUGUGGUGUGGCUGGGGGAAGGGGGUCUGGAUGAGGUGGUUACUUUUAUGUUGUUACCCUUCAUUUAUUUUCUUUCAAACAAAAGCUACCCCAUUUCACAGGUGGAAACACUGAGUCCUGGUGGAUGGAAACGAUGUUCUCCAAGGUAACUCAACCAGACAGACUUAACUACAAAUGCCAUGCUGUCCUCUCAAGAAACCAUUCCAUUUAGUGAAAACGAGACCGGUUAUGCAAUGAGUUUGAGGCUAAUUUUAAAGCAAGUCAUGUGUCCUUCCCGUUGCUCUGACCCAAAUACGAGACAGGGACUCAAAGUUGCACACAAAGAAUACCCAAAACAAUCAGGACACUCGACAUGAGCCAUCUGGUUGAUGACGGGAAUGCAAGCGUCAUUUUUCAGCCACCGCAAGGCUCCGGCACUGGGGACUCGUUCAGCGUUCCAGUUAGGACACCGCCCGGAGACUGUGCCAGGGACCGGCCCCAGGUCGCUAGUUCUGUCUGCAGCCAGAUUUCUAGAGCAGUAAAGAGAAGCUAACCUAACCUCUCUCACAAAGGUGGCUUUGUGCUGUGCUGACCAACAGCAGUUAAUAGGGGUUUGAAGCCAGGGCCGGGGGCUUUCUCCUGAGGGCUGACGGGAGGGGAAGGACAGAGUCCUUAAGGGGCAGACACGCGUGAGCGCAGACAGAAGGUGUGGCCUGAUGCAACGAAAGUCUACGCUGAUCCCGCCUUUCUGAACCCCUUCUCCUGUCCAGGUCUGCAGCGCGCCGUCACUGGGCCCGGGCCCUAGGGCUUCCCUCUUCUCUCACGUCUCUCAACCAAAACCCGCUGGGAAAGAAGACGAGAAAUUCAUCCGCAUCAAGGAGAACGGACAAAUUUAUCUUCCUGGGAGCGUCCCGGAAAAAUAAUGGGUCUCUGGGCAGUUUCAGAUACCAGAGAGAGAGCCAGGAAGAAGAUAUGUCAGAUCUAUGCAUGGAACCACGGAACUUUCUGUCUGGCUAGCAGGGGAGGCUAACAAACAGAACUUCAUGUGGAUGUUUUGAAACAAGAAAGCAGGGUAAGGAGAUAAGGGAGCGAUGGAGCCCGAAGGCAGCUGAGGGGCCCGCAGUGUCUGGCUGAGCUGGUGAGGAAGGGCAUCCUUUGUAGGGUUGCCAGGUCUAGCAAAGAAGAACACGGGGCACCUAGUCGCAUUUGAGUUUCAGAUAAACAGUGAAUACUCUCUCAGGAUAAGUGUGCCCCGUGCAAUAUUUGGGACAUACAUGUAACUAAAAAUUGCCAUUUGUCUGAAAUUCAAAUGUAACUGGGUGUCCUGCAUUUUAUCUUGCACCUCUACUGCCCUGGGGCCCCCAGGAACGAGGUGGGGAGAGAAACAGUCAGCCCAAAGAUUGCCAGGCAGAAAUGGGCUUGGCUCUUGUUCCAGUGUGGCUGGAAUAGAGGGAGGCAGGGAGACGAUGGUAGAGAUGACCCCACAGAGGCAGGCCCGCUAGGAAGAGUUUGCGUUUUAUCCCGAUCAGUAGAAUUUUAGGGAACACCCUCACACUGCAAUUCUUCAUUUCCAUGAAUAUUCCAGUUUAGUAUUGUGUUUCCCGAAGCAGGUGCCACUGACCUUGCUUUAAGGCCAGACUUUAGAAUGGGAGACUAGGUGUCCCUGCCCUGGGUGUCUCACCUAAAUUUACCUGACCUCCCCUCUCUCUUUUCACCCCAUUCACUAUUGUCUGCAGUUUUCCUAGUGCUAGACAGUCAUCGUACCAUAAGAAAUGAACUUAAAAUGCUACUGGGAGAAGAGAUUUAGGGACUCAAAUUCUCACUAGUGUGUAAAUGACUAUUAGAAAGUGUUUUGAAAGUGAGGAAGGGAAGAGCGUAUAGCACAGGUCAAGGGAAGGUGGGAAAAGAAUAAAAAAGGGAAAUUUGAGGGCGCUAAUGCCAAGCUUGACCAAUUUGCCUUGCUGUGACCCUGAAGCUGAGCGUUGGCUGAGCAGAACUGCAAACCAGUUCUCCCCACUCUCGGUGUGGAGAUGACCAAGAGUCUGUCGUGGAAGAGAGAUUCAGAGCCAGGCCGGCUGCGAACCGAUACUGCCAGAUGGCAGAGCAGUCAAAAUAUUUAGCUGUGAAGCCCACACUGUGUUCGGGAAGAGGCUGAACUCACCUUCCUGCCGCAGACCCUGGUGGGCUCCCGUCUGUGGGUGCUGCCUGCCUCCUCAGCCGGCCGCUUCGGUGACUCACUGAGUGGCUCACUGAGUGACUCACUGAGUGACUCAGGCUGGGCUCUGGUGGUUCAUCCCUGGCAGGGAUUUAGCCAGCUGAACCAGCUUCCUCUCCCGCCUUCUAGUAAAAGAUAUCCUGUGUCGAAAACAGAGCCUUGACUGUACUUCUGUGAGAACGGCCCUACCUUGCUUCCGGGGAAUGUGGGGUUUUCUGGACCCAAUAACACACAGAAAAGCAAUAUUGCUCUCCAUGUUAUAGAGGGGAAACAUUGUGAGAAGACGGGCUUGCCCAGGUUCCGAGUGCUGGCGGGUGCACUUGAACGCCCGAGUCUUUUCUAUCACACUGAGGGUGGUGAGUCCAUUUGAAGAUUCCUUAAUGACGUGUGCAAGAUUGCAUAACUACUUGCUGCCCUCUGAAACUGAAACGUUCUUUUUCUAUAAAAUCAUGGUUUAGAAACCAAGAGCAGAAUCUACAAGGGAGAAGUUGUUUCCCCCCAUGUUUUGAAAAACAUUCAUUUCAGAUAAUGAAUCCCUGGGUGAUGGACUGGUUGAUUCUUUCAAAAGAAUUUAAUGACCCCUCCAUUAUACAAAUAAGAAGCGUUUAUUGCAGAAACUUUGGAAAAGUUAGAAAAAAACAAAGGGAAAAAUAAAAAUCACCCGUCAUUCUCCUAGUUAGAUAUAAUUGUUGUUAUUUUGAUGUGUGGCCAGCCCUGGUGGUCUGGGUUAAGAUGUGGCGCUCUCACUGCACGGCCCAGGUUUGUCUCCCAUCAGGGACCACACCACCCAUCAGUCGUUGUCACACUGCGGCAGCUGUGUGUUGCUGAAAGCUCUGCCACCGGGAUUUCAAAUACCAGCAGGGUCACCCAUGGUGGACAGGCUUCAGUAGAGCUUCCAGACUCCGACAGACUAGGAAGAAGGAGCUGGCCAGGCACUUCCAAAAAUUUUGACCAUGAAAACCCUGUGAAUAGCAGCAGAGCAUUGUCUGAUGCAGUGCCGGAAGGUGAGAGGAUGGCGCAGAAACACCCGGCAGGGUUCCGCUCUGCUGUACGCAGGGCCGCUAGGAGUCGGAAUCCAUUCCACGGCACAAACGACAAAAAUUUUAAUAUGUAUCCUUCCUUUUUUCAUACACAUGUGACCAUAUUUUAACAAAUUGGAAAAAAUGUGCUAUAAACUGAUGAAUGAUACUUCCAUGAGCGUUUUCUCACAUCAGUUUCUUUCCAAGCGUCUUUGAUCCAUAGCACACACUCUAUCCUACGGAUGGUGUACUUCAUUUACUCCACCUAUUGAGACUUUUAGCCUGUUACCAUUUUUUUUAUUAUAAACACCACCACAACAGGCUUGCUUGGUCUUAUAAAUAUUUAGUGAUGUUUCCACCCGGCCAUUUGUAUGGGCUUUGGUUUGAGAAAAACUGAAAAUGGAAGAACAGAGAAGGUUAAUAGACAUUAGUUUGAUUUUUGUCUGGCGGAGAAGGGAGAGAAGGAAGGGCAGCCAUCUCAAGUGUCCCCUCUGUAAAGGUCGUUUCCGUCCCCCGGGCUCUUAAUUCUGUUUGUCUGACUUGCCUCCUGUGCGCUUUACCAUCUCCGUCUCCCCACAGCUCCUCACCUUCUCGCCACCCUGUCACAAUCUCUGUUUGCCCUCAUCACACUCUGGGGGCUCUCCUCAGGGCCUCCCUGGUCUUGCCCGCUGUUGAUGAAGGUUUUCUGUGUCUCGACUCAGUGCCUGAGAAGUUAUUUCUAAGAGCAGCAAGUGAAGGAUCCCGGCACAGUGUAUGAAGUCAUGCCCAUAAAGCUCUUCGGCAAAUCACUGCAUUGUUCCACCCGUUGGGUACAGCCCGCAAUGCGGCUGCAACUGACCGGGCCCAAAGACAAGCAACAGUGGUGUGACCUCUGGACUUGUCUAAUUUCUCCACUGGACUAAGCAACUGCCCCUCCAUUCCCUUCCCAUCAGGCACUAUCAGUGUGUCAGCUCUAAUAACAACUAGAAAAAUGGGGACAAUCGUUAUUCCCAAGCUACAAUUUGAGAAACAUCUAAGAGAGUCAUAAAAUCGAAUAAGGCUCAGCAGAGUGCCUUUAGGAAAAAAAAAAAACCAUCUCAUUUGUUGCAGGUUCUUAAAAUAGUUCCCAAUGCUGUCCUCCACCUUCACAAUUAUUUUUGUCUUCAGUUCUAAAUCUGAAUGGCACAGAGCAGCAGAAUUUAUACAUUUAAGUUCAUAAGAGAACAGACAGCUCAUUAAUUCUUAACGUUGGUGGGAUUUGACUGUUUGCCAUCGUAUGCUCCAUUCCGAAAUAUGUCUGGGUCUGCUUUUCUGAGAUGAUUAAAGUGUCUUAUUGAUAACCUUGCGGCUGUUAAGAACACGGUGCCCUUCACGUAUGAGACAAGGUUACACGCCCCUCCCACCCAAGGGAGGGUGUGGGCAACAUCAACACGAAUCAUCUCACGUUUAUCCAUUCACAACUUCAUUUAGUCAAAUAUUUGAGAUUUUCCCAUGUGCCAAGCAAGAGAAAAAGCCCUUGUCUUCCAAGGGGGAGACAAAUAAGCAAAUUUGUAACAUAAUGAAAAUGUUACAAAAAAAAUAAAGCCAAGUAAGAGAAUGGAGUGUGUGGGGGGAUGGGGGUGGUACUUUAGAUCUGGUAGUUAGGGAAGGCCUCUUUGGGGAGGUGGCAUUUAAGUGCAGGAACGAGGCAUGGAAAUAACUAUCAGGAGGAGCAAGGCCAAAGCCCUCGAGAUGGGAAAGGCUCCACGAGAGAAGGGGAGCAGCGAAGAGGUGAGGGUAGCUGAACGCAGCGAGGCAGGGAGAGGGAGAGCUGAGGGGGCCGGGAGCCAGCUCAACGAGAGCCUGUCAGCCACGGACCUUGGUCUGCUCCACCAUGCUCUCUCCCAAGUGCCAAUUCACUGCAGACUCUCACGGUCCCUGAAUCCAGCGGUGACCACCUUGGGUCCCGGCAAGCUGGAAGCCCUUAGGGAUUCCUGGGAAAGCUCUGGGUCCUGUAAAGUGGUCACUGCGGCUGCCAGGCCCACCCUUUUGGUGGUUUUACAAUUCAGAUGAGCUGCUCCUACAGCCUAGGUCUGCUGCUAUACCACCACCUCACUUAACCAUCGACUGCUGUGUGGGGAUCACAGUUCCUGAGUCCUCCUGUAGACCAUGUGAUCUGUAUGUAUUUCCCCCCAUCCUAGAGAAGGAGGCUGAGUUUCAGGAGGUUAGGGACAAGGUCACAUUGUGCCUUAGUCAGUUCAGGUUGCUAUAACAAAGUACCACAGACCAGGUGGCUUAUAAAAUCUGUUUCUUGGUCGCUCUGGAGGCUGGAAGUCUGAGAUCACGGUGCCAGCACAGGUGUCGGUGGGACCCGCUUCGGGUUGCAGACUGCCAGCUUCUCACUGAAUCCUCAUAUGGAGGAGAACAGAAAGAAGUGGCAAGCUCUCUUGUGACUCUUCUAAGGGCACUAAUCCCACUCGUGAGGGUUCCACCCUCACGACCUCAUCUAAUCCUAAUUACCUCCCAAAGCCCGUCUCCUAAUACCAUCACGUUGAGGGGUAGGGUUUCAACACAGGAAUUUGGGGGGACACAAACAUUCAGUCCAUGACACUUGGUUAUUGAGUGAGGGUGGGAUUUAAAUGCAGAUCUAAUUGACUGGAAAGUCUGCUUUUCUUACAUCACGUUGCCUAAUCCUUCCUGAGCACUUCUGUUCAUUGAUCAAAAUAUUUAGUGAACAUCUGCCGUGUGUUUGGUGCUGUGCUGAGCAUCCCCGAGGGACGGAGACACAAAUAAGAGACAGUUCCUGCCCUCAAGCAUCUAGAAUCAAGUGAGCCGUCUAGUCUAUAAUACAUCCCCAGCAUGGAGUGGGAUUAUAACACAGCUCCACCACCACACACACACACACACUCACACUCACACACACACACCCCGUUUUGGACUUUCUCACACAGACAUUUGUCUUAUUCUUCUCAUUAAAGAAACUUGCCAGCUGCCAGGCAGGAUGGGCCACUGCCAAGCGUGAAAAGCAUGCGUUGACCCAUCUGGCCUUGGUUGACAUUGGUACUAUUGUUCACAGUUGGAUUUCACUUAAAUUUGGAUCUUAAUUGUCACUUUAAAAAAUCUUCAAAAAGAUCACCCUAUGUUGCAGGGCUAAAAUGGUAAGACGUCACUGUAGAAGCCUGGCCGUCACACGUCGGCGAUGCAGCCGAAGGGCAGCAGGAACUGCCACGUCUCUGAGCUCUCCCAGCAGUGUCAGAGCCAAGCCCAGGACUCACUCAGGCAUUUGAAGGACGAGCAUUCAGGUGGAGAACACACAGCUCUAUCAGAAGCUUCCAGACGACUUUCUAGAGAAGGUGUGAUACUUCCAGUGGUAUCUUAUUCAGCUCGGGAAUAUAUGAACUACAAGUUUAACCACAUCGGUGAAAUGUCUCAAAAUGAUCUCCAUCACAACAGUGCCUAAGAGAUUAUUCUCAGCGUCAGUACCCUGGUCGUUUCCUUUGCUAUAGUUCCCAUAAUUUGAAAUUACUUUAUUUGCUUGUCUUUGUUUCGCGAUGAGGUUAUCUUUUCAUUGUUGUUUCUCCAGCACAUGGCAAAAUGCCUCAAGCAGAGUCGGGUUGCGGGAAGCAGAAGCUUCUGAGAUGCUGUAUACCCACCGUGGCCAGGACGAUUUACAACUCUUUCUUUAGUGUCUGGGAGAAGCUUGGUCUCAAAAGUUUUAUUGUGACGCUGAAAAAAAUAAGUGCUAUGUUGUUGUCUAAAUAAAUAUACGCUACUGUGAGUUUUUUAGAACACAGAGUUAUGAAGACGUGAUUUUUUUUUUCUGAAAAAAAUUUUAUUAGCUUUACAGAUACUAUUUGGUGUUAAUUUUUAUGACUUGGCAGUUUCUCUUACUCAGUGGCAUCACAGAAUGAAGGAAACAGUAUAACAAGAGUAAAAGACCUUUAAAUAUUUUAAAGCUUUAAAUCAGAGAUUGUAAUAUUUGGGAAUCUCUUCAAACGACUCUCCCAACAUCUCUAACCCAUUAACAAAAAACUCUCAUUAGAUAAUGUGUACUUUCCAAAUAAUUUGAAAUCACCUUGAUAGGGCUUGUAGGCAAAUCAUCACUGUGGCUGGAAAGGAAGAUGCGAGCAAAUGUGCUGUAAUUGUACUGAAAGGAGCUGGUCCGAGGGGGUCCUCUCUGGGCGGCUCCCUGCAUCGUGAGCUCUGUGGGUGGCAUCGGCUUUGGAAUAGGAGAGCCUUUUUGAACGGUGAUGUCACGCUUACCUUGGGCAGGUGAUGUGUCCUCUCUGGGUUUCAGCUUCCUCGUCUGUGAAGUGGGGAAGAGAACUGCCAAUCCCCAGACACGAGGAGGAACCCGCAGGUCUCACACUCAGUGGCGCCCGCCGUACACGGCCCUUGUCUUGGUCCACUCGGGCUGCUGGAACAGAACACCGUCCACUGGGUGGCUUCUGAACAACACACAUUAAUUGCUUACAGUUCUGGAGGCUGGCAAGCCCAAGAUCAAGGCCUGGCAGAUUGAGUGUCUGGUGAGAGCCCCCUUCCUCACAGAGGGUCAUCUUCUCACUCUGACCUCACGUGGCAGAAGGGAGCAGCUAGCUCUCUGGGGUCUCCUUUAUAAGGGCACAAAUCCCAAACACGAGGGCUCUGCUCUCAUGACCUAAUCACCUCCCAAGGGCCCCACCUCCCAACACCGUCACAUCGGGCCUCAGGUUUCCACACAAGAAUUUGGAGGGGGUGGGGUACCAACGUGUGCAGACCGUAGCAGCACUCCCUCCUGACUCCCUUCUGGAACACCUGAACCAGUGGCGAACCCCUUCAGCAAUUUGUAAGGCUGGCGAGAGCACCACCGCUAUUUCACUCGCAUCAUCUCUAGAACAGCGCUCCUCCUCCGGGGCUUUUAUUCCAUCAACGUUUCCCUCUUUUUCCUUUUCUCCACACUUUGUACUUUUGUCUACUGUUUCCUGCCUCUGCUUCUUCAGAAACCUCCUUCCCAACGUCACCCCUUAGGACACAGUCCACGCUCACUUGGAUCUUGGGCCACCGCGGACACUUGAGAGGUUGCUGAACCCUUGGACCUCAUUUCAUAAAGGGCCACGUUUAAGUCACCUCCCAUCAAUUCUUUUCCGUAUCGGGGUAAAUUCAAAACAUGCUGUAAAAAAUAUAAAGUUCUUCCUCAAACAUGUUCUCCAAACAUUAGGGACCCACUUAAACAAGGCCAAAUGAAAUUAUGCUAGAUUCAAUCAGCACGAUGACGGUCUCGCUUAACUCCACACGUUGGGUAUUCACCUUUAGGGCCUCUUUCCCAAGCAAUGUGGAGACACACAGUGGAAGGUCAGAUCAUCUAUGGUCCCACAGAGCCGAAGGGGCUCGCUGUACAGGAUUCUUUGUAUUAUAUGCUGUGCGUUCAAAGUCUCACCUUAGAGAAGUACAGGAAGCAUGUUCUGCCUUACGUCAAUGUCCUGGAAAGGCAAGGACCUAGAAGCACAUUAGGGCUAUGUCAGAGUCCUACUUUGGAAUGAGAGAAUGUUCAAGAUGGAAGGCACUAGAACACUCCUACAACUCCCUCAUUUAUAAAUGAGAGACCCAGAUAAUCAUGAUGUGCCCUACCAGAAUUACAUGCCAAUAAGUGCUGUAACAGGCAAUUUUUUUUUAUUGAGUUCAUAAUAGUUUACAUCAAUGUGAGAUUUCAGUUGUACAUUAUUUCCUGACUGCCACCAUAUAAGUGCUCCCCUUCACCCCUGGUGCCCCUGCCCCACCCCACUUCCCCUGGUAACCACUGAACUGUUUUCAUUGUUUAUAUUCCACAUAUGAGUGAAAUCAUCUGGUGUUUGUCUUUCUCAGACUGGCUUAUUUCGCUUAGCAUAAUUCUCUCUAGGUCCUUCCAUGUUAUUGCAAAUGGGAUGAAUUUGUCUUUUUUUCUGGCUGAGUAGUAUUCCAUUCUACAUAUAUACCACAUCUUUAUCCAAUCAUCGGUCGAUGGGCACUUGGAUUGUUUCCAUGUCUUGGCUGUUGUGAAUAGUGCUGCAAUGAACAUAGAGGUGAAUAUGUUACUUCGGAUUGUUGAUUUCAAAUUGUUUGGGUAGAUACCCAGUAGUGGGAUAGCUGGGUCAUAUGGUAGGUCUAUUUUUUAGUUUUUUGAGGAAUCUCCAUACUGUUUUCCACAGUGGCUGCACCAGUUCGCAUUCCCACCAGCAGUGUGUGAGGGUUCCCUUCUCUCCACACCCUCUCCAACAUUUGUUGUUUUUAGUCUUAGUGAUUAUAGCCAUUUUAACAGGUGUAAGGUAUCUUAGUGUAGUUUUGAUUUGCAUUUGCCUGAUGCUUAGUGAGGUUGAACAUCUUUUCAUGUGUUUAUUGGCCAUCUGUGUAUCUUCUUUGGAAAAAUGUUCAUCUCCUCUGCCCACUUUUUGAUUGAGUUCUUUGCUUUUUUAUUGUUCAUUUGUAACAGACAAUUUUUGUUUUUGGGUGACUGCUUAGGAUUAGACAAUUCUAUUUAGAACCAUUGUGCAAGGCAACUAAAUUCAAGACAUCCAAUUCAUCCAAUUUAUUUUCUUUUAGAAAUCUGAGUACCCUUACCAAAAGCUAGUAUUCACUGAGCUUCAACUAAGGAUAACUUGAUGGAAAGAAUUUGUGUUGAGCAAUAGAAUUUAAAAUCUGAUGCAAAUUGAUCAACGUGCACUUUCUUCCUUGUUUACUUACCUAUCUGGUCUUUCUUCCUUGAUAAAUAAAUAAGUAACUGUUACCAUAAAGCCUUGUGCUCAGCACCUCAUAUUUCACCUCUGUAGUCAACCUCAGUCAUCAGAGUUAAGCAUCCAUAUCUGUCUCUACAGAUGAGGAAACUGAGGUUCAGAAAAGUGAGGUAACCUGCUGUGGUCCCACAGUAAACACCAGUCUUUAUUGUAACAUGUACGUUAUGCCACCUCCAAACAUACACGACCCCUUCCAGCACAGACAGCAGUGCUUCUGUGCUCUAAGAUGCGUAUCC
rnacentral:lncRNA from 1 species